UACGAGAGGUGCAAGCGUUAUUCGGAUUUAUUGGGCGUAAAGGGUGUGUAGGCGGUGCAUUAAGUCUGUUGUCAAAUUUCCCGGCCCAACCGGGAAUCGGCGAUGGAAACUGAUGUGCUAGAGGAUGGAAGAGAGAAGUGGAAUUCUCGGAGUAGCGGUAAAAUGCGUAGAUCUCGAGAGGAACACCGAUGGCGAAGGCAGCUUCUUGGUCCAUACCUGACGCUAAGGCACGAAAGCGUGGGGAGCAAACAGG
rnacentral:rRNA from 1 species